AGCGAACGCUGGCGGCAGGCCUAACACAUGCAGGUCGAACGGACCCUUCGGGGUUAGUGGCGGACGGGUGAGUAACACGUGGGAACGUGCCUUUAGGUUCGGAAUAGCUCCUGGAAACGGGUGGUAAUGCCGAAUGUGCCCUUCGGGGGAAAGAUUUAUCGCCUUUAGAGCGGCCCGCGUCUGAUUAGCUAGUUGGUGAGGUAACGGCUCACCAAGGCGACGAUCAGUAGCUGGUCUGAGAGGAUGACCAGCCACACUGGGACUGAGACACGGCCCAGACUCCUACGGGAGGCAGCAGUGGGGAAUCUUGCGCAAUGGGCGAAAGCCUGACGCAGCCAUGCCGCGUGAAUGAUGAAGGUCUUAGGAUUGUAAAAUUCUUUCACCGGGGACGAUAAUGACGGUACCCGGAGAAGAAGCCCCGGCUAACUUCGUG
rnacentral:rRNA from 1 species